GGGGUUGUGGCUCGGUGGUAGAGCACUUGCCUGGAAUGUGUGAGGUACUGGGUUCAAUUCUCAGCACCA
rnacentral:tRNA from 1 species